rnacentral:tmRNA from 1 species
GGUGUGCAAAGGUUUCGACGGGGUUAUUUUGCUUUAGAUAGCAGGUCAGGUUGACCGCUGUGAAAGGUUAACUCAUCUUUAGAUGAAAACAAUAAUUACGCAUUAGCAGCAUAGUUCUGCUUGCUUCCAGUUAUUUCCCUCUGUAGAAGUAACUAACCGAAGUAUAACCUAAUUACAGAUUACCUCUUUCAACUCCUUUGCGACAAGAGGGACACUUUAAAGGAUAGCUCUUAUUUGCCCUGUUUGCGGGAAAAAUAUUAGCGAAACUUAAUAGCAAACUAAACUUGUAGAAGUUUAAGGUAGUAAUAGCUUCGGACACGAGUUCGAUUCUCGUCACAUCCACCA